UAUUGUCUGCCACAUUCACUGGGAUGUGGCUGAAGUGAAACCAGGAUCCAAUAGCUCGCCACAUAGUUUUCUUCUUAUCCUUCAUCCACAUUGUGUCUACCCUCUGCUGCCUUGAAUCUUUGCUGGAGAGAGCAUGCGGAUCUACAUCAUGAAUUGUCGCUCCUUGUGGAAUUCCUCUAGAUGACUUCUUUCAGCUACCAAAACUACCCAGCAUAGAUGCAAUCCGGCCACGUUCUUUGCUGACGCCCUCCCUGACUGAAGUUGUCCUCAAGAACUCUGGAUCUUGUCUAGUGCUCCCAGA
rnacentral:lncRNA from 1 species